UGGGGAAUAUUGGACAAUGGGCGAAAGCCUGAUCCAGCCAUGCCGCGUGUGUGAAGAAGGCCUUUUGGUUGUAAAGCACUUUAAGCGAGGAGGAGGCUACUUGGAUUAAUACUCUAGGAUAGUGGACGUUACUCGCAGAAUAAGCACCGGCUAACUCUGUGCCAGCAGCCGCGGUAAUACAGAGGGUGCGAGCGUUAAUCGGAUUUACUGGGCGUAAAGCGUGCGUAGGCGGCUUCUUAAGUCGGAUGUGAAAUCCCUGAGCUUAACUUAGGAAUUGCAUUCGAUACUGGGAAGCUAGAGUAUGGAAGAGGAUGGUAGAAUUCCAGGUGUAGCGGUGAAAUGCGUAGAGAUCUGGAGGAAUACCGAUGGCGAAGGCAGCCAUCUGGCCUAAUACUGACGCUGAGGUACGAAAGCAUGGGGAGCAAACAGG
rnacentral:rRNA from 1 species